AUUGAACGCUGGCGGCAGGCCUAACACAUGCAAGUCGAACGAGUGGCGGACGGGUGAGUAAUGUCUGGGAAACUGCCCGAUGGAGGGGGAUAACUACUGGAAACGUUAGCUAAUACCGCAUACCAUCGGAUGUGCCCACGGGGGAUUAGCUAGUCGGUGGGGUAACGGCUCACCUAGGCGACGAUCCCUAGCUGGUCUGAGAGGGUGACCGGCCACACUGGAACUGAGACACGGUCCAGACGCCUACGGGAGGCAGCAGUGGGGAAUAUUACACAAUGGGCGAAAGCCUGAUGCAGCAAUGCCGCGUGUGUGAAGAAGGCCUUCGGGUUGUAAAGUACUGUCAGCGAGGAGGCGUUACUCGCAGAAGAAGCACCGGCUAACUCCGUGCCAGCCGCCGCGGUAAUUC
rnacentral:rRNA from 1 species